CAAAGUAAAAAGAAGAAAAAAUCACAAAAAAAGAGAAAGAAAAGUAAAACGGUAAAAACAUUUAGUAUAAAAUUAUAAAAGUUUAUACGUAUAAGAAAUGAAAACAAAUUAGUUAAAGAAACUCGAAUGAAAAGUAAAUCAAAGUGAAGUGAAGGAAGGCGACAGAGAGUAGAUGAGAGGAGAGGAGUUUGGUUUUCAUUCAAGCGAUCUAUAUAAUACACCCCAUAUGAACACACACACUCACUCGCCUCGACACUUGUACACUCACACACCUACACCUACACACACACACACACAGUCAGACAUAAAUGCAUAAUGCAGCAACAAUUGCAACUCGAUGGUAUUGUUUACUCUUCCAAAAUUUAUUAAGCUUAAAGUAUAAAAUGAAAGGAAUAUAUGGCGGCGGAUAUAUACAGAUAUAAUAUGAUAUGAUAUGAUAUGAUAUGACAUGAUAUAUGGAUAUAUGAUAUAUGUAGUAUGGUGUUGCUUAGGAUUGUGACCAGGUGACGACAGAAGAAUGAGGGACCGCUGCUGAUAAUUAAGUUUAUUUUUUAUAUAAAUAUGAUUGCAAAUAGUAAUUUUUUAUUCAUGUGUGCAAAUAAUUAAAUAAAAAAAUAUUGAAAAUUUAUUACUUAUAAUUAUAUAAAUAUAUAUAUACAUAUAUUAUAAACGCCCCCGCCCCUAUCAUAAAGAUGUGUAUAAAAUAACAACAAAAAACAAAAAGCUAAAAAAAAAAA
rnacentral:sRNA from 1 species